UACGGAGGGAGCUAGCGUUGUUCGGAAUUACUGGGCGUAAAGCGCGCGUAGGCGGCUUUGUAAGUUAGAGGUGAAAGCCCGGGGCUCAACCCCGGAAUUGCCUUUAAGACUGCAUCGCUUGAAUCCGGGAGAGGUGAGUGGAAUUCCCGGUGUAGAGGUGAAAUUCGUAGAUAUCGGGAGGAACACCAGUGGCGAGGGCGGCGAUCUGGGAAGAUACUGACGCUGAGGUGCGAAAGCGUGGGGAGCAAACAGG
rnacentral:rRNA from 1 species